AUUGAACGCUGGAGGCAGGCCUAACACAUGCAAGUAGAACGAGUGGCGGACGGGUGAGUAAUGUCUGGGAAACUGCCUGAUGGAGGGGGAUAACUACUGGAAACGGUAGCUAAUACCGCAUACCAUCGGAUGUGCCCAGAUGGGAUUAGCGAGUAGGUGAGGUAACGGCUCAACUCGGCGAACAUCCCUAGCUGGUCUGAGAGGAUGACCAGACACACUGGAACUGAGACACUGUCCAAACUCCUACGGGAGGCAGAAGUGGGGACUAUUGCACAACGGGCGUAAGCAUGAUGCAGCCAGGCCGCGUGUAUGAAGAAGGCCUUCGGGUUGUAAAGUACUUUCAUCGGGGAGGCGUUACCCGCAGAAGAAGCACCGGCUAACUCCGUGCCAGCAGCCGCGGUAAUUC
rnacentral:rRNA from 1 species